rnacentral:rRNA from 1 species
CCGGUUCACUUUAACACUGAGGCGUGAUGACGAGGCACUACGGUGCUGAAGCAACAAAUGCCCUGCUUCCAGGAAAAGCCUCUAAGCAUCAGGUAACAUCAAAUCGUACCCCAAACCGACACAGGUGGUCAGGUAGAGAAUACCAAGGCGCUUGAGAGAACUCGGGUGAAGGAACUAGGCAAAAUGGUGCCGUAACUUCGGGAGAAGGCACGCUGACACGUAGGUGAAGUGAUUUACUCACGGAGCUGAAGUCAGUCGAAGAUACCAGCUGGCUGCAACUGUUUAUUAAAAACACAGCACUGUGCAAACACGAAAGUGGACGUAUACGGUGUGACGCCUGCCCGGUGCCGGAAGGUUAAUUGAUGGGGUCAGCGCAAGCGAAGCUCCUGAUCGAAGCCCCGGUAAACGGCGGCCGUAACUAUAACGGUCCUAAGGUAGCGAAAUUCCUUGUCGGGUAAGUUCCGACCUGCACGAAUGGCGUAAUGAUGGCCAGGCUGUCUCCACCCGAGACUCAGUGAAAUUGAACUCGCUGUGAAGAUGCAGUGUACCCGCGGCAAGACGGAAAGACCCCGUGAACCUUUACUAUAGCUUGACACUGAACAUUGAGCCUUGAUGUGUAGGAUAGGUGGGAGGCUUUGAAGUGUGGACGCCAGUCUGCAUGGAGCCGACCUUGAAAUACCACCCUUUAAUGUUUGAUGUUCUAACGUGGACCCGUAAUCCGGGUUGCGGACAGUGUCUGGUGGGUAGUUUGACUGGGGCGGUCUCCUCCUAAAGAGUAACGGAGGAGCACGAAGGUUGGCUAAUCCUGGUCGGACAUCAGGAGGUUAGUGCAAUGGCAUAAGCCAGCUUGACUGCGAGCGUGACGGCGCGAGCAGGUGCGAAAGCAGGUCAUAGUGAUCCGGUGGUUCUGAAUGGAAGGGCCAUCGCUCAACGGAUAAAAGGUACUCCGGGGAUAACAGGCUGAUACCGCCCAAGAGUUCAUAUCGACGGCGGUGUUUGGCACCUCGAUGUCGGCUCAUCACAUCCUGGGGCUGAAGUAGGUCCCAAGGGUAUGGCUGUUCGCCAUUUAAAGUGGUACGCGAGCUGGGUUUAGAACGUCGUGAGACAGUUCGGUCCCUAUCUGCCGUGGGCGCUGGAGAACUGAGGGGGGCUGCUCCUAGUACGAGAGGACCGGAGUGGACGCAUCACUGGUGUUCGGGUUGUCAUGCCAAUGGCACUGCCCGGUAGCUAAAUGCGGAAGAGAUAAGUGCUGAAAGCAUCUAAGCACGAAACUUGCCCCGAGAUGAGUUCUCCCUGAGACUUAGAGUCUCCUGAAGGAACGUUGAAGACGACGACGUUGAUAGGCCGGGUGUGUAAGCGCAGCGAUGCGUUGAGCUAACCGGUACUAAUGAACCGUGAGGCUUAACCUUACA